rnacentral:rRNA from 1 species
GACGAACGCUGGCGGCGUGCUUAACACAUGCAAGUCGAACGGUGAAGGGGAGCUUGCUCCCUCCGGAUCAGUGGCGAACGGGUGAGUAACACGUGAGCAAUCUGCCCUGGACUCUGGGAUAAGCGUUGGAAACGACGUCUAAUACCGGAUACGAGGCGUGGGGGCAUCCCCAACGCCUGGAAAGAACUUCGGUCCAGGAUGAGCUCGCGGCCUAUCAGCUAGUUGGUGAGGUAACGGCUCACCAAGGCGACGACGGGUAGCCGGCCUGAGAGGGUGACCGGCCACACUGGGACUGAGACACGGCCCAGACUCCUACGGGAGGCAGCAGUGGGGAAUAUUGCACAAUGGGCGCAAGCCUGAUGCAGCAACGCCGCGUGAGGGACGACGGCCUUCGGGUUGUAAACCUCUUUUAGCAGGGAAGAAGCGAAAGUGACGGUACCUGCAGAAAAAGCACCGGCUAACUACGUGCCAGCAGCCGCCGUAACAC